rnacentral:pre_miRNA from 14 species
UCUCUGGAUAUGAGAGUGGUUGCUCAUCCUGGACAAGACCCCAAAUGAAAGACCCCCGAAGUGGGGAGACCCUCACUCAAGUCUCGGGAUGACACGACCCCCCAAGAACUCACAAGAGACC